GCACUAUUCAGUCCCAAAAAGAGGCAGUGAAGGGCUGACCCUUCUCUUUGAGUACACUGGAACUGUUUAUACUGUCUGCUGAGUGGAGCUAAGAGAUAUCUGGCAAGGAGAAAGACUGAAAACCCAGAAAAUCCCUGAAUCAUGGGCAGAAACUGCAAAGAGGAAUGUCCUGUAUGUGCCAUAUGAACUGAAAACUACCUGCUGAAAACCCCCAGAACCCCUCAGUGCUGUGCAGAUGCUGCAAGAAGGUGGAAAGAGGGAAGCAGCUGAGAGAGAAGAAGAAAAGAGCAAAGAGCAAAAACAUUUAAACA